UACGGGGGGGGCAAGCGUUGUUCGGAAUUACUGGGCGUAAAGGGCUCGUAGGUGGCCAACUAAGUCAGACGUGAAAUCCCUCGGCUUAACCGGGGAACUGCGUCUGAUACUGGAUGGCUUGAGUUUGGGAGAGGGACGCGGAAUUCCAGGUGUAGCGGUGAAAUGCGUAGAUAUCUGGAGGAACACCAGAGGUGAAGACGGGUUGCUGGGCCGACACUGACGCUGACAGCGCGAAAGCCAGGGGAGCAAACGGG
rnacentral:rRNA from 1 species